rnacentral:rRNA from 1 species
UACGGAGGGGGGCUAGCGUUGUUCGGAAUUACUGGGCGUAAAGCGCACGUAGGCGGCUUUGUAAGUUAGAGGUGAAAGCCCGGGGCUCAACCCCGGAAUUGCCUUUAAGACUGCAUCGCUUGAACGUCGGAGAGGUGAGUGGAAUUCCGAGUGUAGAGGUGAAAUUCGUAGAUAUUCGGAAGAACACCAGUGGCGAAGGCGGCUCACUGGACGACUGUUGACGCUGAGGUGCGAAAGCGUGGGGGAGCAAACAGG